AAAUUAUCAAUAAGUACACAUCCAACAUCCAAGGGAUUAAGACUGAAAGUCAUAAACAGUGAGAAAAACAUGACCUUGUACAUGUGCAAUGCCAAGAUUCAGGAGUUAACAGAUUAUUAGAUUCAUGAAAGCGCAUAUGAACAUAACAAUACUAUUUAGUUUGCUUUAAAUUUACUGAUCACAAAGUCAAUAUUAAUACCAAUAAAAACAACAUUCAAAGAUCUAAUUACGGUGUUGAAUUGGUAACCUUUUAGAAUAAGUUUGUUUAAAUGAGUUAUGAGUUUACCGGUAAAUGAAUAAAAAGUCACAGAAAAAAAUGUCACUGGGGAAAAAAAGUCACAAAAUCCAGAGGAAAAAAAAUCACAGG
rnacentral:lncRNA from 1 species